UACGAAGGGGGCUAGCGUUGCUCGGAAUCACUGGGCGUAAAGGGUGCGUAGGCGGGUCUUUAAGUCAGGGGUGAAAUCCUGGAGCUCAACUCCAGAACUGCCUUUGAUACUGAAGAUCUUGAGUCCGGGAGAGGUGAGUGGAGCUGCGAGUGUAGAGGUGAAAUUCGUAGAUAUUCGCAAGAACACCAGUGGCGAAGGCGGCUCACUGGCCCGAUACUGACGCUGAGGCACGAAAGCGUGGGGAGCAAACAGG
rnacentral:rRNA from 1 species